rnacentral:rRNA from 2 species
AGAGUUUGAUUCUGGCUCGAUUGAACGCUGGCGGCAGGCCUAACACAUGCAAGUCCAACGGUAACAGGAAGAAGCUUGCUUCUUUGCUGACGAGUGGCGGACGGGUGAGUAAUGUCUGGGAAACUGCCUGAUGGAGGGGGAUAACUACUGGAAACGGUAGCUAAUACCGCAUAACGUCGCAAGACCAAAGUGGGGGACCUUCGGGCCUCAUGCCAUCAAAUGUGCCCAGAUGGGAUUAGCUAGUAUGUGGGGUAACGGCUCACUAGGCGACGAUCCCUAGCUGGUCUGAGAGGAUGACCAGCCACACUGGAACUGAGACACGGUCCAGACUCCUACGGGAGGCAGCAGUGGGGAAUAUUGCACAAUGGGCGCAAGCCUGAUCCAGCCAUGCCGCGUGUGUGAAGAAGGUCUUCGGAUUGUAAAGCACUUUAAGUUGGGAGGAAGGGCAGUAAGUUAAUACCUUGCUGUUUUGACGUUACCAACAGAAUAAGCACCGGCUAACUUCGUGCCAGCAGCCGCGGUAAUACGAAGGGUGCAAGCGUUAAUCGGAAUUACUGGGCGUAAAGCGCGCGUAGGUGGUUCAGCAAGUUGGAUGUGAAAUCCCCGGGCUCAACCUGGGAACUGCAUCCAAAACUACUGAGCUAGAGUACGGUAGAGGGUGGUGGAAUUUCCUGUGUAGCGGUGAAAUGCGUAGAUAUAGGAAGGAACACCAGUGGCGAAGGCGACCACCUGGACUGAUACAGACACUGAGGUGCGAAAGCGUGGGGAGCAAACAGGAUUAGAUACCCUGGUAGUCCACGCCGUAAACGAUGUCGACUAGCCGUUGGGAUCCUUGAGAUCUUAGUGGCGCAGCUAACGCGAUAAGUCGACCGCCUGGGGAGUACGGCCGCAAGGUUAAAACUCAAAUGAAUUGACGGGGGCCCGCACAAGCGGUGGGAGCAUGGUGGUUUAAUUCGAAGCAACGCGAAGAACCUUACCUGGCCUUGACAUGCUGAGACUUCAGAAGAUGGAUUGGUGCUUCGGGAGCUCAGACCCAGGUGCUGCAUGGCUUGUCGUCAGCUCGGUGUCGUGGAGAUGGUUGGUUAAGUCCGGUAAAGAGCGCAUCCUUUUUCUUUUAUUUCCCAGCGGUCCGGCUAGAACUAAAAGGAGUUGUCCAUUGAUAAACUGGAGGAGGGUGGGGAUAAUUCUAGUCUUCAUGUUCUUAGGACCAGGGUUACACACGUGUUACAAUGGCGCUAACAAAGAGAAGCGACCUCGGGUAGCAAGCGGACUUCAUAAAGUGUGUCGUAGUUCGGAUAGGAGUUUGCAAUUUGACUCCAGGAAGUCGGAUUCGUUAGUAAUGGUGGAUCAGAAUGCCACGGUGAAUACGUUCCCGGGCCUUGUACACACCGCCCGUCACACCAUGGGAGUGGGUUGCAAAAGAAGUAGGUAGCUUAACCUUGGGGAGGGCGCUUACCACUUUGUGAUUCAUGACUGGGGGGAAGUCGUAACAAGGUAGCCGUA